rnacentral:rRNA from 1 species
AUGAUCAUGUGGUCGAAAGUCUGGGUCAAACAAAUAAGAAUAUGCCGCGACAACCCUGCGAACUCGGUUUGUCUUGCAGCAUGGUCUCACUCCCUGAUUUGUGUUGGAUGCAAAAAAUUGUUGAUUGAAAGAUUGUUGUGCUCACAAGGAGAUGUCUAUCUCAGUUUGUUCUUCUUUCCAUCACAUACUGUGAAUAUUGGGUAUACAAUUUGCUUAUACAGUUCUGCAGCCAGAUUUCUGGUUUCUAAUGUUACAAAAUCGUCGCACAAAGAAUCCUCAGCUAGCAUCAGAAAUACCUGA